UGGGGAAUAUUGGACAAUGGGCGCAAGCCUGAUCCAGCCAUACCGCGUGGGUGAAGAAGGCCUUCGGGUUGUAAAGCACUUUUGUUGGGAAAGAAAUCCAGCCGGCUAAUACCUGGUUGGGAUGACGGUACCCAAAGAAUAAGCACCGGCUAACUUCGUGCCAGCAGCCGCGGUAAUACGAAGGGUGCAAGCGUUACUCGGAAUUACUGGGCGUAAAGCGUGCGUAGGUGGUCGUUUAAGUCCGUUGUGAAAGCCCUGGGCUCAACCUGGGAACUGCAGUGGAUACUGGGCGACUAGAGUGUGGUAGAGGGUAGCGGAAUUCCUGGUGUAGCAGUGAAAUGCGUAGAGAUCAGGAGGAACAUCCAUGGCGAAGGCAGCUACCUGGACCAACACUGACACUGAGGCACGAAAGCGUGGGGAGCAAACAGGAUUAGAUACCCUGGUAGUCCACGCCCUAAACGAUGCGAACUGGAUGUUGGGUGCAAUUUGGCACGCAGUAUCGAAGCUAACGCGUUAAGUUCGCCGCCUGGGGAGUACGGUCGCAAGACUGAAACUCAAAGGAAUUGAC
rnacentral:rRNA from 1 species